AGUUGACCGGGCAAUCGCUGCCGGAACACGUGCGCUUUAGGCAUACGGUUCUGGGGGAGGAAAGUCCGAGCUCUACAGGGCGAAGGUGCCAGGUAACGCCUGGGGGGUGUGAACCCACGACAAGUGCAGCAGAGAGCAGACCGCCGAUGGCCUUAGGGCACAGGUAAGGGUGAAAGGGUGCGGUAAGAGCGCACCGCGUUGCUAGUAAUAGUUAACGGCUAGGUAAACUCCACCUAGAGCAAGAUCAAAUAGGCCCCCGCAUAGUGUGGCCCGCACUGGGGGGCGGGUCGAUUGCUUGAGCCUAAGCGUGAGUUUAGGCCUAGAUGAAUGAUUGCCACUUAGAAAUAAGUACAGAACUCGGCUUACAGGUCAACUCAA
rnacentral:RNase_P_RNA from 1 species